CCUACGGGUGGCAGCAGUGAGGAAUAUUGGUCAAUGGACGAGAGUCUGAACCAGCCAAGUAGCGUGAAGGAUGACUGCCCUAUGGGUUGUAAACUUCUUUUAGAUGGGAAUAAAAUGUUCCACGUGUGGGAUUUUGUAUGUACCAUAUGAAUAAGGAUCGGCUAACUCCGUGCCAGCAGCCGCGGUAAUACGGAGGAUCCGAGCGUUAUCAGGAUUUAUUGGGCUUAAAGGGAGCGUAGGUGGAGUGUUAAGUCAGUUGGGAAAGUUUGCGGCUCAACCGUAAAAUUGCAGUUGAAACUGGCAGUCUUGAGUACAGUAGAGGUGGGCGGAAUUCGUGGUGUAGCGGUGAAAUGCUUAGAUAUCACGAAGAACUCCGAUUGCGUAGGCAGUUCACUGGACUGCAACUGACACUGAGGCUCGAAAGUGUGGGUAUCAAACAGGAUUAGAUACCCUUGUAGUC
rnacentral:rRNA from 1 species